rnacentral:tRNA from 1 species
AUGGAGGUGGGCAGGGAUUCAAAACCCAGUUUGACGCUUGCUGGUGGUUCCGGAUCAGGGCCGGGACCGGGGUUCGGGUUCUCGCCGCCGUU